AGGGGUAUGACUCAGUGGCAGAUCAUCUGCUUGGCAUCCAGAAGUCCUUGGUUUCAAUUCCCAGCAUCUCCA
rnacentral:tRNA from 1 species